rnacentral:rRNA from 1 species
UACGUAGAUGGCAAGCGUUAUUCGGAUUUACUGGGCGUAAAGGGUCCGCAGGGUGUUUGUCAAGUCUGAUGUGAAAGCCUACGGCUCAACCGUAGAAAUGCAUUGGAAACUGAUGAACUCGAGGGUGUCAGAGGAAAGCGGAAUUCCCGGUGUAGCGGUGGAAUGCGUAGAUAUCGGGAAGAACACCAAUGGCGAAGGCAGCUUUCUGGGGCAUACCUGACCCUCAGGGACGAAAGCGUGGGGAGCAAACAGGAUUAGAUACCCUGGUAGUCCACGCCCUAAACGGUGCGCACUCGAUGUGGGAGGAAUUAGCCCCUUCCGUGUCUUAGCUAACGCGUUAAGUGCGCCGCCUGGGGACUACGGCCGCAAGGCUAAA